GAACAACAGGAGCUCUCAAGCCCUGCUAGCAGCUCUGCCCCCUCCAGUCAGUGCUUAGCAGUCAGUGCUAUUCCUGUCAGAGCCCCUCCUGCAGGCACAGGAGGUCCCUGACAUCACAGACCCACACAGUCACAGACACCCAGCCAGCUGCUUGAGGAUGGCAAAACUUAAAUUGGACACAUUCAUGAAACACCAUGACAUGAACAUUGUUUUCCCAUUUCCACCACUGCUUGAAGAACAUCCUUCCAAGAAUAGAACAGCGAGCCAACUCCGGGUUUACUUUUCACGAUUCAGUGAGCUACUUCAGAACAUGUAAAGUUCAGAUCAAAUUGAAAUGGAAUCCUCAUGCCUCCGUGGACACAGCAAAACAACCUCCAGUGUAUAAAGUGUUCUCCUUCAAUCUUUUAAAAAGGAAAAAAGAAAAAGAAAAGAACCCACACACGCCACAUGCAUGCUCAACUCUGUUCACCUCCUUGUAUCCCUUUGAAAGACAGAGAUGAGGCAGAAAGACGGACUCACUGUGAGGAACUCUGUGAGUUCUCGCUGUAACAGCAUCUUCAGUUCCCCCUUGUUGAGCUUGAACCUGUCGCCCUCCUUGCAAGAGUACCGGUGGAAGAUGCGAAUCAUGGUGUCCAUAGCCAUCUCCAGCUGGGUGGGCAUGCUGACGGUGGAGUGGAUCACUCCCGGAGCAGGACGCCAAACCAGGGGGAAGGCACUCGCUCAAAGAAAGCAGAUGGGGACCCGUCAGCUCUUCCGUGAAAACAGAAUACACCGGCGACAGUUCUUAAACUCUAAUAACGCUCCAUUAAAGACGGUGUUCUGCUUAUUCUAGCGCAAGCUACGAGACCAUCGCAGGUGUUCUUACUCCACCCCAA